rnacentral:rRNA from 1 species
AUACCGGCGGCUCGAGUGGUGGCCACUUUUAUUGGGCUUAAAGCGUUCGUAGCUGGGUUGUUAAGUCUCUUGGGAAAUCCGGCGGCUUAACAGUCGGGCGUCUAAGAGAUACUGGCAAUCUUGGAACCGGGGGAGGUGAGGGGUACUUCGGGGGUAGGGGUGAAAACCUGUAAUCCUCGAGGGACCACCUGUGGCAAAGGCGCCUCACCAGAACGGCUUCGACAGUGAGGGACGAAAGCUGGGGGAGCAAACCGGAUUAGAUACCCGGGUAGUCCCAGCCGUAAACGAUGUGCGUUAGGUGUAUCGACGACCACGAGUCGUCGAGGUGCCGAAGGGAAACCGUGAAACGUACCGCCUGGGAAGUACGGUCGCAAGGCUGAAACUUAAAGGAAUUGGCGGGG